GGGACGGUAGCAUAAUGGUAAAUGCUGACGCAGAAUUGCUCUUGUCUUACGAUCUCAGUUCGAAUCUGAGCCGUUCCA